AUGCAAUGAUGACAUGAAUUUCUUCAACUGACAACCUGAUGCUUUUGAGCUUUUUAACCCUGAGCAUU
rnacentral:snoRNA from 11 species